rnacentral:tRNA from 1 species
GCAGAGAUGGCGGAGCGGUCGAACGCGCAUGAUUCGAAAUCAUGUUAUGGGGUUACUCAUACAAGGGUUCAAAUCCCUUUCUCUGCGCCA